ACGGGAGGCAGCAGUGGGGAAUAUUGGGCAAUGGGCGCAAGCCUGACCCAGCAACGCCGCGUGAAGGAUGAAGGUUUUCGGAUUGUAAACUUCUUUGACUGAGGACGAUAAUGACGGUACUCAGAAAACAAGCCACGGCUAACUACGUGCCAGCAGCCGCGGUAAUACGUAGGUGGCGAGCGUUGUCCGGAUUUACUGGGUGUAAAGGGCGUGUAGGCGGGGGAGCAAGUCAGAUGUGAAAUACCGUGGCUUAACCACGGAGCUGCAUUUGAAACUGUUCUUCUUGAGUGAUGGAGAGGUAAGCGGAAUUCCUAGUGUAGCGGUAAAAUGCGUAGAUAUUAGGAGGAACACCGGUGGCGAAGGCGGCUUACUGGACAUUAACUGACGCUGAGGCGCGAAAGCGUGGGGAGCAAACAGGAUUAGAUACCCUGGUA
rnacentral:rRNA from 1 species